GCCUUCGUGGUGUAGUGGCCAGCACGCUCGACUCGUAUAUGAGAGGUCGGUGGUUCGAGUCCCGGGGAGGGCA
rnacentral:tRNA from 1 species